UCAGCAGCCUUAUGAUAGGUAGAUGAUAAAAUUAGCACAGAUGUAGCAUUCAGACUUCAGCAAGACAUUUGCUAACUUUCAUCAUAAUAUACAUUUGGGCAAAAAAAAAAAAAGAUCACUAAAUGUAACAACAAAUGGAUAAAUUAAUGAGCUGGUGCAAGGAACAGAAACACACCUGAGGGGUCGAAAAGGUCAUGUUUCAGGGGAAGCAAUAAGCAUCGUUUUGUUAACUCCUGAGUUGCCACAGUUCUUCAUUUGAAGGAAUUUAAGAUCUGUAGAAUCUUAAGGAAAAAUACCCUAACUGACCAGCGCAGUCUGAUGACUCACCAAACCGGGGAA